UGGGGAAUAUUGCGCAAUGGGGGGAACCCUGACGCAGCCAUGCCGCGUGAAUGAAGAAGGCCUUCGGGUUGUAAAGUUCUUUCGGUAUUGAGGAAGGUUGAUGUGAUAAUAGCACAUCAAAUUGACGUUAAAUACAGAAGAAGCACCGGCUAACUCCGUGCCAGCAGCCGCGGUAAUACGGAGGGUGCGAGCGUUAAUCGGAAUAACUGGGCGUAAAGGGCACGCGGGCGGUUAUUUAAGUGAGGUGUGAAAGCCCUGGGCUUAACCUAGGAAUUGCAUUUCAGAUUGGGUAACUAGAGUACUUUAGGGAGGGGUAGAAUUCCACGUGUAGCGGUGAAAUGCGUAGAGAUGUGGAGGAAUACCGAAGGCGAAGGCAGCCCCUUGGGAAUGUACUGACGCUCAUGUGCGAAAGCGUGGGGAGCAAACAGGAUUAGAUACCCUGGUAGUCCACGCUGUAAACGCUGUCGAUUUGGGGGUUGGGGUUUAACUUUGGCGCCCGUAGCUAACGUGAUAAAUCGACCGCCUGGGGAGUACGGCCGCAAGGUUA
rnacentral:rRNA from 1 species